rnacentral:lncRNA from 1 species
AGCAAACUCCCAUGUCCCCCAGUGCUCGGAGAGUAUGAGCUCUGGGUCAGUUAGCCUGGCUGGUUAUUUCGGGUUAAUGAGACCGUCCUUUUCAGUUUCACCCCGAUCUGUGACAAUCUCGCACAAACAUCUGUCGCCUCCUCUGGGCUCCGCUCCGCCCUUUUACCGCAAACCCAAGCGUGUCUCCCUGAGGCUUAGGAGGUACCAGGAUUCACCCGAGUCUUCUGAGGGUGGCACUUGGGUUAGGGAACAAUUUACUCAUGACGAAGACAGAGAUCAGAGGCAGGUCGUUCAGAUCCUUCCUGUGCUGAUGAUCUCCAUGUCACCCUUCAGAGCAGUAAGGAGAAGAAAAAUGAGCUCGCUUGCUUUGAGUAUGAGAUCAUGGGUCAGAGGCGUAAAGUGACUUGUUCAAAGUCACCCAGCAGUGUGACUCCAGUGCCUGAGUGGGAGUGGGUCAUCAUGAUGAUUCAGCCUCUCCAAGGGAACCAAUCUUUCCAAACCGUCUGGUGGAGAACAGAUGGCACAGCACCCAGGAGUCCCCGAGCUGCCCAGCCUCAAAGAUGCUCCAUGUAUGUACAUGGGUGGGAGGCCUUGAGGUGCCAGAGCAGUGGGGUGUGUGACCUUGGAUAAGUCAUGUCUAUCUCUUUGGGUGGUUGGGUUUGAAGCUCUGUAAACCCUCUUCCCAGUCUUGUCACAGAGAGGCUCUCAGAGUCUGUGGUAGCAAAUAUCCCUUUAGGUUGCGGCUCCUGUUUGCAAAGCAUGUUACAGAUGCCUUAAUUAAUUAUUCAGGCUGACAUCUCCACCUCCAAAAUCAGAGGGUUGAGAAAAGAUCAUAGGAAUACAAUGAAUGUGAACUUGGCUGAUAAUGGCUGGUCCCAGGGUGGUGAGAAGAGAAGAAAACCCUCCAAAUUGGUCUUCCCUUACACUUUGGCCCCGCUUCCGCCAACGGCCAAGAUAAAACUGUCCUCCUUCAAUAAUUAAUGAGCAGGAUCCUGCGCUCCUGGCCUGGAUCCCCCGAAGGAGACCCCUUG